rnacentral:rRNA from 1 species
GACGAACGCUGGCGGCGUGCUUAACACAUGCAAGUCGAACGGAAAGGCCCUGCUUUUGUGGGGUGCUCGAGUGGCGAACGGGUGAGUAACACGUGAGUAACCUGCCCUUGACUUUGGGAUAACUUCAGGAAACUGGGGCUAAUACCGGAUAGGAGCUCCUGCUGCAUGGUGGGGGUUGGAAAGUUUCGGCGGUUGGGGAUGGACUCGCGGCUUAUCAGCUUGUUAGUGGGGUAGUGGCUUACCAAGGCUUUGACGGGUAGCCGGCCUGAGAGGGUGACCGGCCACAUUGGGGCUGAGAUACGGCCCAGACUCCUACGGGAGGCAGCAGUGGGGAAUAUUGCACAAUGGGCGGAAGCCUGAUGCAGCAACGCCGCGUGCGGGAUGACGGCCUUCGGGUUGUAAACCGCUUUCGCCUGUGACGAAGCGUGAGUGACGGUAAUGGGUAAAGAAGCACCGGCUAACUACGUG